rnacentral:tRNA from 1 species
AAAGUAUAGUUUAAUAAAACCCCUCGCUUACACCGAGAAACUAUCUGUGCAAACCGGAUUACUUUGAG